rnacentral:rRNA from 1 species
AUUGAACGCUGGCGGCAGGCCUAACACAUGCAAGUCGAGCGAGCGGCGGACGGGUGAGUAAUGUAUGGGGAUCUGCCCGAUAAAGGGGGUUAACUACUGGAAACGGUGGCUAAUACCGCAUACUAGCGGAUGAAACCAUAGGGGAUUAGCUAGUAGGUGGGGUAAAGGCUCACCAAGGCGACGAUCUCUAGCUGGUCUGAGAGGAUGAUCAGCCACACUGGGACUGAGACACGGCCCAGACUCCUACGGGAGGCAGCAGUGGGGAAUAUGGCACAAUGGGCGAAAGCCUGACGCAGCCAUGCCGCGUGAAUGAAGAAGGCCUUAGGGUUGUAAAGUACUUUUAGCGGGGAAGCGGUACCUGAAGAAGAAGCACCGGCUAACUCCGUGCCAGCAGCCGCGGUAAUUC